AUGGCGCCAGCGUCUCUUAUUACACUGCUCGUCAUCCUCUCCGUGGCCUUCGUCGCCCACGCCAGCGACCCGGACAUCCUCACCGACUUCAUCGUGCCCCCGGGCACCAACGCGUCCGUGCUCGACGGCGCCUUCUUCACCUACACCGGCCUCAUCGCCGGCAACUCCGCCGACCCGGCCAAGUUCACCGUGUCCAAGGCCACCACGGCCGAGUUCCCCGCGCUGCUGGGCCAGUCCGUCUCCUACGCCGCCCUCGUCUUCGGCCCCGGCACCGUCAACCCGCCGCACGUCCACCCCAGGGCCUCGGAGCUGCUCUACGUGGUGCAGGGCCCGCUGCUGGUGGGCCUGGUCGACGAGACCAAAAACGAGCUCUAUGCGCAGACGCUGCAGACGGGCGACAUGUUUGUGUUCCCCAAGGGCAUGGUGCACUUCCAGUUCAACGGCGGCGAGCACGUGGCGCGCGCCUUCUCCGCCUUCGGCAGCGCCAGCCCCGGCACCGUCUCGCUGCCCGUAACGCUCUUCGAGUCCGGCAUCCCGGACGCCGUCCUCGAGAAGUCGCUCCACGUCGACGAGGCCACUGUGCAUGCGCUCGAGCACGCCCUCGCGCCGCCCGCUCCUGCUCCCGCUCCCGAUUCCCCACCGGCGCCCAAGAAUGGUGCCGCCUCGCCAGUGCCAGCAUGCCUCUCGCUCCUGGUUGGCUUCGCCGCCGCAUUGUUGCUUUGA
rnacentral:rRNA from 1 species